rnacentral:rRNA from 1 species
CAGCCGCCGCGGUAAUACGAGGGGGGCAAGCGUUGUUCGGAAUUAUUGGGCGUAAAGGGUGCGUAGACGGUUUGAUAAGUCUUGUGUGAAAUCUAUGGGCUCAACCCAUAGUCUGCACAGGAAACUGUCGGGCUUGAGAGUGGGAGAGGUGAGUGGAAUUUCCGGUGUAGCGGUGAAAUGCGUAGAUAUCGGAAGGAACACCUGUGGCGAAAGCGGCUCACUGGACCAUUUCUGACGCUGAUGCACGAAGGCUAGGGGAGCAAACAGGAUUAGAUACCCCCGUAGUCCCUGUCUCUUAUAC